UGGGUUCAGCAAUGAGCCUGUCUCUCCUUGGACCAAAUUCACAAAGACUGGCUUCCAAAAAGCCCUGGACAACCACAGCUCUUGGUCAAGAGGUGCAAUACUCUGAUACCUCAAACAGGCCUGGACUGCCCUAUUUCAUUGCAGACAGAUGGUUUUGGUCAUGCUUUGGGUUUCUUUUGUAAGACACAAAUUAGAUUCUUACUGAAACAGGCUGGUAAGGCUUCAAAGCAAGAGAGAGAAAAAAAAAAAGAAAGGAAAAAAAAAAGAAAGGAAAUAUUGCCUAGCAAUGAGAAACAGCCAGAGGCUGAGGUAAGAGCACUUACUGUGAAUAAGUGGGUAUUAGUGCCUUCUGUUGACAGAGGCAGCACUAAGAGGGCAUCCUGUCCAGCUGCACAGCCUCUGAUUGCCCAGCAAGCAGCAAUCUCAAAUAAAUAUUUCUAUCUCCUAGGCAAAAAGAUUGCCCUCUUGCCUGCGUGGCAAUGGCUCCAUCUCUGCACUGAGGAUGAUGGCUGGCUGAGGCUACCUCGGGGCACAAACUGCACAGAAACCACACACAAACUGCACAGAAACUGCACAGAAACCACACACAACUGCACACAAACUGCACACAAGCAGCAGCUGGAGCAAGAGCAGAGCACCCUCAGGGAUCUCUCACACCUCAAUGCUGCCACUCAGCCUCAGCAGCAGUGCCCCGGCUAUACAAGGAAGUGUUUGCAGGAUCAGAAUCCAGAACCAUGUCUCAUCAAAUUAUAAUGCUACUGGGAAAGAGCUGCAGGCAAACACGGUGGUAACAUCCUCCAGAAAUUGUCAGCUCUGCUUCAAAGCAUGAGAUCAACAUAACGCCAGUGCAAAUGGAGUUCUUUACCUUCCACUUUCUCAAUCUUGAGGUCACAUCCAGGUGAAGUGUCAUGCUUCUACUGUUGUCUGGAACACCUGAAACCAUCCUUAAAUACUGGGACUGCUGUGGAGUCUCAUGAUAUCCUGCAGAUUCAGAACUAGAAAAGAUACAAAAAUUGUCUGGUCUUUAAUUUAGAAAGGCUAGGAAGAUGAGAAGGGCUUGACUCCCACCUUAAAAUCUGGCAUGGGACUGGGGAAAUAAAUAACUGGUACUAUCCCAGGAGUGACUGGCUGGGAAGGCUGAAGAUGUGAGCUGGGAUGUAAAGUCUACAGGAGAGCUGUGUAUAUUUUCUAGGCACACUGAGAGGAAGGAAUGCUGUGGCUCUGCCCUUCUGGCACUCAGCUGUGCUGCCCACCCCACGUGGGCUUAGUGGGAGGGGAAGGAUGGAGAAGUAGAGCUGCUUCACAUGCUGGGAUCCAUGCAAAAAAGCAGUGCCAAAGCUUUACAGAGAAACUCUGUGCUGCUUCAAACUCAUGUGGGCAGGGGUUUGUCUGAUAUUCAGAAAGUGCAGUUUUAAUUUGAGCUUUUCUUGCUAUGCUAUUAACAGUAUGGAGUACCUGCUUGUGAUUUGGUAGGGUUUCGAUGCAUUUAUGAAACAGUUAAGCCAAGUUUCAAUAUGUCAAAGAAGUGAGAAUGUGAUUUGAUAGAGAACAGUAUUAAAAAAAUAGCCCUUCAGUUUUUAAUUGUAUACUCUGUGAAUUCAGUUUUAGGACAUGCAUUAUGCAGACAGAAAAAUAGGACUUUCAAAUAAAGUGGGAUUUAAAGUGUAUUAUUACCUGAUUUGCAUUUAAAUUAGUGGAAUGCUGUUUGGGAUAUUCUGUAAAGAGCCACUGCUUCCUCUCCUUCAUCCCAGACAAACACCUUUGAAAAAUCAGGCCCUGCAUGCCCUUCAGCCCUUGGCUAGGACAUAACUGGGGGAGCUAUGAGCAAAGGCUGUGAGCUCUAUCAGAACAAAUCACUCAAUAAAGCUUAACUGCAGUUUUACGCGGUAAGGAAGUUUUGCUGUUACAAGGGAAAAAAAGUGGGUUUCAGCACUUUGUUGGUCACUUGUAAGGUGAGAUUGAUGCAACACUUGGCAGCAGCUGCUCCUGGCUCAUUGGAUGCCCUCAGAGGUCAGAGUGCAAGUGCCCAGUGUCGUCACUGGGGACAGACAGUGGCCACACUGUGCCUGGCACUGGCUGCUGUCUCAUCACAGUGGGAUUAAAUUAACUGCUUGUGUGACAGUGGUAUCACCUGUACAAAGUCCACUUAAAUAAUUCAUAGGGUGAGAUGAGUAAAAGAAAUUCUUGAUAGCCCAGACCAUGACCUGCUAGCAAAAAAUUAUUUUGCUAGUGCUUGCUUCCCUCAGCACUUACAUGGGGCAGGGGGUGGCAGCACUUCCAUAGUGAAAAUACUUUCUCCUGUGGGAUGCUUCUGAUGCAUCUCCUCCAUCAUUCCACUUUUCACUUUCCUUCCAUCACCUCUCAUUACACUUGCCUGAAUACUCUUUGAAAGCACAGACUGCCUUUCAACAAACCAAACACACAUAUAACAAAGUUUAGUUGAAUAAUUAAUGGACAAUAUUUUGUCUCUUUAAUGAGAGACCCUUCUGCUUCAAAAGGAACAAGUCUUCACCUUUC
ensembl:lncRNA